UUUCCUCUGCAGUGUUCGCGAUGGCUCAAUUCCUUUGAACCAAUAAUUCGCUUUUCGACUGCCAAGCGCGUAGUGGGCGUGUGACGCUUCUUUUUAGAAGCAUCCCCAAAGCUAUCCAGGUGCGGUCAACCUUGUCAGCAAGGUUCAAGCGGAUCGGCCAAGACGGCACAUGCGGAGGACCC
rnacentral:other from 1 species